GGCCCAAUGGUGUAGCUCGGCCAAUCAUCGCGGACUCUCACUCCGUGGACCCGGGUUCAAAUCCCGGUUGGGUCA
rnacentral:tRNA from 1 species